rnacentral:rRNA from 1 species
CAUGCAAGUCGAACGAUUAAACUUUCCUUCGGGAAAGAUAUAAAGUGGCGCACGGGUGAGUAACACGUAAGUAAUCUACCUUUGGAUGGGGAAUAACAGUCGGAAACGACUGCUAAUACCGCAUAAUGCAGCGGCACCUAAUGGUGACAGUUGUUAAAGUAUUUAUACGUCUGAAGAGGAGCUUGCGGCAGAUUAGCUAGUUGGUAAGGUAACGGCUUACCAAGGCGACGAUCUGUAUCCGACCUGAGAGGGUGGUCGGACACACUGACACUGAAUAACGGGUCAGACUCCUACGGGAGGCAGCAGUCGGGAAUUUUGGGCAAUGGGCGAAAGCCUGACCCAGCAACGCCGCGUGAAGGAUGAAGUCUUUCGGGAUGUAAACUUCGUAAGAAUAGGAAGAAUAAAUGACGGUACUAUUUGUAAGGUCCGGCUAACUACGUGCCAGCAGCCGCGGUAAUACGUAGGGACCAAGCGUUGUUCGGAUUUACUGGGCGUAAAGGGCGCGUAGGCGGCGUGACAAGUCACUUGUGAAAUCUCCGGGCUUAACUCGGAACGGUCAAGUGAUACUGUUGUGCUAGAGUGCAGAAGGGGCAAUCGGAAUUCUUGGUGUAGCGGUGAAAUGCGUAGAUAUCAAGAGGAACACCUGAGGUGAAGACGGGUUGCUGGGCUGACACUGACGCUGAGGCGCGAAAGCUAGGGUAGCAAACGGGAUUAGAUACCCCGGUAGUCCUAGCCCUAAACGAUGAAUACUUGGUGUCUGGAGUUUUAAUUCUCCGGGUGCCGUCCCUAACGUUUU